rnacentral:rRNA from 1 species
GUGAGGAAUUUUCCGCAAUGGGCGAAAGCCUGACGGAGCAAUGCCGCGUGAAGGAUGAAGGCCUAUGGGUUGUAAACUUCUUUUCUCAGAAAAGAAUUAUGACGGUAUCUGAGGAAUAAGCAUCGGCUAACUCUGUGCCAGCAGCCGCGGUAAGACAGAGGAUGCAAGCGUUAUCCGGAAUGAUUGGGCGUAAAGCGUCUGUAGGUUGUUUAAAAAGUAUUCUGUCAAAGAUUAGGGCUUAACCCUAGAUAGGCAGAAUAAACUUUUAAGCUAGAGGUUGGUAGAGGCAGAGGGAAUUCCCGGUGGAGCGGUGAAAUGCGUAGAUAUCGGGAGGAACACCAAAGGUGAAGGCACUCUGCUGGGCCAAUACUAACACUGAGAGACGAAAGCGAGGGGAGCAAAUGGGAUUAGAUACCCGAGUAGUCC